GACAGAGGGUGCAAACGUUGCUCGGAAUUACUGGGCGUAAAGCGCGUGUAGGCGGCCCUGCAAGUCGGGUGUGAAAUCCCAUGGCUCAACCAUGGAAGUGCACUCGAAACUGCAGGGCUAGAGUCCUGGAGAGGAAGGUGGAAUGCUUGGUGUAGAGGUGAAAUUCGUAGAUAUCAAGCGGAACACCGGUGGCGAAGGCGGCCUUCUGGACAGUGACUGACGCUGAGACGCGAAAGCGUGGGGAGCAAACAGG
rnacentral:rRNA from 1 species